UACGUAGGGUGCGAGCGUUGUCCGGAAUUAUUGGGCGUAAAGGGCUCGUAGGCGGUCUGUCACGUCGGGAGUGAAAACUCAGGGCUUAACCCUGAGCCUGCUUCCGAUACUGGCAGUCUCGAGUGCGGGAGAGGUGAGUGGAAUUCCCAGUGUAGAGGUGAAAUUCGUAGAUAUUGGGAAGAACACCAGUGGCGAAGGCGGCUCACUGGCCCGUAACUGACGCUGAGGUGCGAAAGCGUGGGGAGCAAACAGG
rnacentral:rRNA from 1 species